AACGAACGCUGGCGGCAGGCCUAACACAUGCAAGUCGAACGCUCGUAGCAAUACGGGAGUGGCAGACGGGUGAGUAACACGUGGGAACCUUCCCUAUGGUUCGGAAUAGCUCAGGGAAACUUGGGGUAAUACCGGAUAAGCCCUUCGGGGAAGGAUUUAUCGCCAUUGGAUGGGCCCGCCGUCGGAUUAGCUAGUUGGUGAGGUAACGGCUCACCAAGGCAACAAUCCGCAGCUGGUCUGAGAGGAUGAUCAGCCACACUGGGACUGAGACACGGCCCAGACUCCUACGGGAGGCAGCAGUGGGGAAUAUUGGACAAUGGGCGCAAGCCUGAUCCAGCCAUGCCGCGUGAGUGACGAAGGUCUUCGGAUUGUAAACUCUUUUGGCGGGACGAUAAUGACGGUACCCGCAGAAUAAGCCCCGGCUAACUUCGUGCCAGCCGCCGCAGUAAU
rnacentral:rRNA from 1 species